GACGAACGCUGGCGGCGUGCUUAACACAUGCGAGUCGAACGGUGAAGCGCCUUCCUUUUUGGUGGGUGUGGAUGAGUGGCGAACGGGUGAGUAACACGUGAGUAACCUGCCCCCUUCUUCUGGAUAACCGCAUGAAAGUGUGGCUAAUACGGGAUAUUCUGGGUCUGUCGCAUGAUGGGUCUGGGAAAGAUAUUGUUUCGGUGGGGGAUGGGCUCGCGGCCUAUCAGCUUGUUGGUGGGGUGAUGGCCUACCAAGGCGGUGACGGGUAGCCGGCCUGAGAGGGUGGACGGUCACACUGGGACUGAGACACGGCCCAGACUCCUACGGGAGGCAGCAGUGGGGAAUAUUGCACAAUGGGCGCAAGCCUGAUGCAGCGACGCCGCGUGAGGGAUGGAGGCCUGCGGGUUGUGAACCUCUUUCGCCAGUGAAGCAGGCCUGCCUCGUUUGUGGGUGGGUUGACGGUAGCUGGAUAAGAAGCGCCGGCUAACUACGUG
rnacentral:rRNA from 1 species